CAUCCGCAUAGUUUAGGGGUUAAGGUUAAGCAAAUGUAACCAGAAACUAAUAAUUCGGCCACACUAGCUACCAGUAAUCCAAUGCUAGCCAAUAUACCUGCCCAGGUACCCUCUACUUCUGCUGCGUUUCCAUCUUCAUUCUUUAACAAUUGAGAUCAUUGACCGGAAGAGACGUGUUUCAUCGCGUUCAAGAUUCAGAGGCAGGGCAAUUUGUGAAAUUCACGAUGCCCUGACCGCGUUUUAGCCUUGGCAUUGGAAACUUUCUCUGACGGUCAAAUGGUUCCAACGGCCCUGUUCUGGUUGGUCUGAGACGCCAAAACUCGUCGAUCUCAUCGGUGAACGAGAAAAUGAUCAAGAACGAAUUUGGGCCAUCAAUACCGCUUACUAAUUGAGUUUUAAAUAAGUACAAUAUUAUAAUUGUAUACAGCAAUGUUCAGAAAAAAAAAGAAAUACAUAGAAAAAAAGAGUAACUAGUGAAAGUGCAGACAAUACGUACCGGAACAGUGAGCAAGGUCACUUCCGGUGUUCUCUGGGAGUCCCUGACAAUAGCAGUCAAGGCCGUGAUUGCAGCCAUAUUCGAAAGGGCAAGGGCAAUGAGGCUCGCUGCAAGGUGAGCCGUGGAAA